GACGACGUCAAUUUGCAACAGCCAGUCUGCUUGUGGAAUGUGGCAUGGCCUACUGUGGGUAUUUAAAUUUGAUCGUUUGAAUGUUUGUGAUUGAUUUCAUCUUGUGAAGCACUGUGUUUAUAUUUAAAAUUUUAACUAUUGCAGCAUUAUAAUAGGAAAGAAAAAAAUGCCUCUUGUGUCACAUUUGAUGGUUCCUUUACCUAUCAAAUCUGUACCACAUUGGCAGAGGGUUCACAUGUAGGUGCUGAAUCAACUGGAAAACGUUCAAAAAAAGGGAAUUGAGAAUUACAUUUAUCAUCAGGCAUACCUCCAUUUCAGAAAAUUUUAUCGUAAACAUGACAAGUUGGAAAUUGAUUUACUGUUUACAUGUCACCUUAAGUGAUAUCAUUGCAUACCAGACUUUAUUCGGAUGCAAAAAAAAUUUCCCUCAUUUAAAAGGCAUGCAUGAUUUAAUGGUUGCAAUUUUGUAAUGAAGACAAAUGAAAGCUGCAGCUGUGGAAAAUAGAAUUGACAGAUUACAUUCAUCAUCAGACGCAUUUCAUUUUCAGAAAGUUUUGUCUUGAAGAUGACAACAGUUGCCAGUCGAUUUACAUGUCACCUUAAGUGAUGUCAUAGCAGGAGCUU